rnacentral:rRNA from 1 species
CUUGGUCAUUUAGAGGAAGUAAAAGUCGUAACAAGGUCUCCGUUGGUGAACCAGCGGAGGGAUCAUUAUAGAGUUUUCAAAACUCCCAAACCCAUGUGAACUUACCUAUGUUGCCUCGGCGGGAGCCUACCCUGUACCUACCCUGUAACGGGUUACCCGGGAGCGGCCCCGCCGGUGGACCUUUUAACUCUUGUUAUUUUAUGUAAUCUGAGAGUCUUAUUUUAAAUAAGUCAAAACUUUCAACAACGGAUCUCUUGGUUCUGGCAUCGAUGAAGAACGCAGCGAAAUGCGAUACGUAAUGUGAAUUGCAGAAUUCAGUGAAUCAUCGAAUCUUUGAACGCACAUUGCGCCCAUUAGUAUUCUAGUGGGCAUGCCUGUUCGAGCGUCAUUUCAACCCUUAAGCCUAGCUUAGUGUUGGGAAUCUACACCAAAGGCUUCUAGCCCUACUGUAGUUCCUGAAGAUCAACGGCGGAUCUGUAAUAAUCCUCUGAGCGUAGUAAUUCUUUAUCUCGCUUUUGUUAGGUGUUAUAGCCCUUGCCGCUAAACCCCCCAAUUUUUAAUGGUUGACCUCGGAUCAGGUAGGAAUACCCGCUGAACUUAAGCAUAUCAAUAAGCGGAGGA